AGUGAACGCUGGCGGUAGGCCUAACACAUGCAAGUCGAACGGCAGCACAGUAAGAGCUUGCUCUUACGGGUGGCGAGUGGCGGACGGGUGAGGAAUACAUCGGAAUCUACUUUUUCGUGGGGGAUAACGUAGGGAAACUUACGCUAAUACCGCAUACGACCUACGGGUGAAAGCAGGGGAUCUUCGGACCUUGCGCGAUUGAAUGAGCCGAUGUCGGAUUAGCUAGUUGGCGGGGUAAAGGCCCACCAAGGCGACGAUCCGUAGCUGGUCUGAGAGGAUGAUCAGCCAGACUGGAACUGAGACACGGUCCAGACUCCUACGGGAGGCAGCAGUGGGGAAUAUGGGACAAUGGGGGCAAGCCUGAUCCAGCCAUACCGCGUGGGUGAAGAAGGCCUUCGGGUUGUAAAGCCCUUUUGUUGGGAAAGAAAAGCAGCAGGUUAAUACCCCGCUGUUCUGACGGUACCCAAAGAAUAAGCACCGGCUAACUUCGUG
rnacentral:rRNA from 1 species